AGCAGUAGCCACGGUAAUACAGAGGGUGCAAGCGUUAAUCGGAAUUACUGGGCGUAAAGCGCGCGUAGGUGGUUUGUUAAGUUGGAUGUGAAAUCCCCGGGCUCAACCUGGGAACUGCAUCCAAAACUGGCAAGCUAGAGUAUGGUAGAGGGUGGUGGAAUUUCCUGUGUAGCGGUGAAAUGCGUAGAGAUCUGGAGGAAUACCGGUGGCGAAGGCGGCCCCCUGGACAAAGACUGACGCUCAGGUGCGAAAGCGUGGGGAGCAAACAGGAUUAGAUACCCGCGUAGUCCCUGUCUCUUAUAC
rnacentral:rRNA from 1 species